AUCAGCGGUUGCAAGAAGACAUC
rnacentral:siRNA from 1 species